rnacentral:rRNA from 1 species
UACGUAGGGGGCAAGCGUUGUCCGGAAUCAUUGGGCGUAAAGCGCGCGUAGGCGGUCCGAUAAGUCUGCUGUGAAAGUCGGGGGCUCAACCCUCGAAUGCCGGUGGAUACUGUCGGGCUAGAGUGCGGAAGAGGCGAGUGGAAUUCCUGGUGUAGCGGUGAAAUGCGCAGAUAUCAGGAGGAACACCUAUUGCGAAGGCAGCUCGCUGGGACGUAACUGACGCUGAGACGCGAAAGCGUGGGGAGCAAACAGG